GAUGAAAAAGAUAUUCUUUGCAAGCAUCACACAAAGGCCAUCAUUUAUUCCGUAUGAAAACCACAUGUUAAUUCAGUUUUAAUUGGUUUUUCAUUUAUUUAAAAUAAAACAUCUCAAAUAAUAUAUCCAUAUCUGCAUUCACUCUGUCACAAUGUUUGUUCUAGCGUCUAUUUGUGUUUUUCAGGUUUUCCAUUACACUACAAUAUCGGUAUUUGAUUUUCGUAUUUGAUGAACUGUUGACCUCCCAUUGGUCAAAUUGUCUAGGAGCUUCCAUAGGACCUGCUCUGUGCUGUUCCUUCGUGGUAACCUCCAUUGGGGAUGAAAAAACUGCAGACCACAAUGUAGCUUCCAUAGGACCUCUGUACUAUACAGAAACAGCGAACUAAACGUAUCUGAUCCAUUUUUGUAUACCGUUUCCUUCUAUUAACAAUGUUAUUAUUCAAUUUGAUUAAACAAUGCUUUGGUUAUAGAUCAAAUUAUUUUUCCAAAGAUGGAUCGGUAUAAGAUUUUCGAUUAGAACCAACAUGAUUACAUUAGUGAUAAGACAGAAACUAUGCAAUUACUAUUUGCUAAAUAUAUGAGGUUCCUAAGGAAAAAUGCUAAAGCAUAUUGUUAGCCUAGAUUUAUAUUUCUUAUUACUUUCGUGCAAUGUUUGAUUCCUAACUUACCAGUUCUGAAAACAAUUUUAUACAUACAAAUUUAUUCCUGCUUACUGUUAUUUUACAGCAUAACCAGUUUUGUGUAAAGCAUUGCCUCCAAUCAUCAUUCAUUUCAAGGUACACCAUUCUAGCACCAUCUUUUAUUUGCUUUGAUAAAAUUAUUUGUCAGCUGUUUAACUUAUUAACAAGAACAAUAUUAUUUUUACCCUUAGUUAACUAUUAAAUACCUAAACACUUUCAUCCGUGAUAACUGUCAAUUUACACACUUAACAACCUUCACAAACUCACGUUUGAAUCAACAUUUUUUUACACCCCACAACACAAAUUUAGCCUUUGCAUUACAAAUACAUUGUUUCUUACAAUUGCUCCAUUGCCAAAACAAAGCUGAACCAUCGGUUAUUUCUAUAUUUUUAUUCAUUCCUGUAAAUACGAUGAAUUCACAUACAUGUUUGUAAAACUUUAUGCAAAUUUUAUGCAUACACUUUUAAAACCCGCAGCAACGCGCGGGCACAAUUACUAGUAUGCUACUAAAUAUGACUGUUGACGAAUAGGCAGAUAGGGGUAGAAAUGUACAUUCUUGUUAGAGAUCUGUGAGCUAUGAAUGUUAUAAGAUUUGAUGUACUUAUAAUUAUCUGAAAAACAUGUAUAAUUUUGAGACAAAUAUUAGCAUUUUUAUGAAAUUUCCUAGCCGGUUUCCUAGUUGGUAAACUAAAACUAAUAGAACAAUUUUUGUUUAUUAAAAAAGAAAUUUCUUAAAAAGGAAUAUAUCAAUAUGUAAAUCAUGGCAAAACCUUUAAUUAUCUCAUUGUCUGUUAAUAAUAGUGUUAAUGCGUGGACCUUUUAGACCCAUUACAAUAAUGUAUAGUUGUUUGGACAUGAUAGAUGGGUCUUGAAAGAGCCACAAAAGGAUGAAAGGAUUAAGACAUUAGGCUUAUAAGCCGACCCAAAAAAUUCAGCAGACAUAGUCCUAUCACUAGGGAUGGGCAAUGGUUAUGGUGGACGGG
rnacentral:lncRNA from 1 species